rnacentral:rRNA from 1 species
CAAUAGCGUAUAUUAAAGUUGUUGCAGUUAAAAAGCUCGUAGUUGGACUUCUGCGGGUGGCGGCCGGUCGUGCUCGAAACGGGCGUGAACUUGGCGUGCUGCCCGCAUCUUUGGGGAGAUUGUGCGUGGCAUUAAGUUGUCGUGCAUGGGAUUCUCAUCAUUUACUGUGAAAAAAUUAGAGUGUUUAAAGCAGGCCUUUGCCUUGAAUACAUUAGCAUGGAAUAAUAAGAUAGGACCGUUGUCUAUUUUGUUGGUUUACAGAUGUCGGUAAUGAUUAAUAGGGAUAGUUGGGGGUAUUCGUAUUCAGUUGUCAGAGGUGAAAUUCUUGGAUUUUCGGAAGACGCACGACUGCGAAAGCAUUUACCAAGAAUGUUUNCAUUA